AUUAGCCCAUAAGGGCAAUUCGAGCCACUUUGAUAAUGACAAGGGUAGGAACAAACACUUUCUUAACAGAGGGCAAAAUCACUCCAAUGGUCUAGGGACCUUUUUUAAACCAUUACCCUGGUUUAAAAUGUAAUUAAAAGAAAAAUGGUGAUUGGUGAUGAUGGGGUUGGAGAGAUUAUAUGGUGAGCUUAAAGAUGGAAGUAGAAAAAAGUCCCGGAAAUGAAGCAUUGAGGAGCAGUUAUUGUAACAAACUCUCAACACCAUAAAUCUUGGAAAUGGCACUUCAGUUUCAUGUUGCCAGCAAAGCACUCUAUUUUUAUGGCGUGCAUCACUCGCCAAGAUGUCACACUUCAUUCACAGUUGUCAAGAACUCCAAUGAAGUGAUCACUUAUAGCCUCUUUGGCCAAGCUUAUUUUUUCUUCAAAAGUACUUAUUUUUUCAAUAAGUGCUUAUUUGAAGAAAAAAAAAAGUGAGGUGUUUGGCCAAGUUUUUGAGAGAAAAUAAGUGUUUUUGGAGAGUAACAGAAGCAGUUUUUCAGAAGCUAAAAAAAACUGUUUUUGCCCAAAAGCACUUUUGAGAAAAAUACAAAUAGAAACACUUUUUAAAAGCUUGGUCAAACACUAAUUGUUGUUCAAAAGUGUUUUUUUAAUUAAUUGUCCAAACAUAAACUGUUUUUCGUCAAAAGUGUUUUUUUGAAAAGUACUUUUAAAAUAAGUUAAUUUUAGAAGCUUGGCCAAACAGGCUAUUAAUCACUAGUCUGUGGCAUUUUACACCCUUAAUGUGUGCUCUGUUUUGUGAUUUGCACCCUGUCUUUUUAUUUUAUUUUAUUUGACUUCAAAUUUUUGCAAAACAAUAAAAUUACUCUUUUUAUAAAUAAUACAUGAGGGCAAAAUGGGGAAUACAAAUAAAAAAUCAUUAAAUAAUAAAAAACAAAUGAUAUUCAAUCUAAAGAAAGCUUAAACAAUUCUUUUUUGUCUCAUUCCACUGCAAAUAGGGUACAAGAUAACAUCUAUUGUUUUUAACUUAAAAAAUAGCAUAGUUCCACUACAUGUCAAGUCUUUAACAAGUCUGAGUAUAUUUUUUCUUUGCAGAGUAGAAAUCAAAUGAUGGAGUAAGGAAACAAUGACUCAAAAAAAACACAAUUGAUUCCUUGAGUACUUUUGUUCAGUUUGUUCCAAAGAAUGGAACAACAUCCUCAAGGGUAUUUAGAGAUAAUGUUUUCAUUCUUUAGCUUUCAAUUUCACAAACUUAUAAUUCCUCAUGUUGUUAUAUCUUUAUGCCAAUCUAGUCUUCUAUCAAAUUGAUGAAUACAAUAUUUGGAAAUUUUGCACU